AUUGAACGCUGGCGGCAUGCCUUACACAUUGCAAGUCGAACGGCAGCACGGACUUCGGUCUGGUGGCGAGUGGCGAACGGGUGAGUAAUGUAUCGGAACGUACCUUUCAGUGGGGGAUAACGUAGCGAAGUUACGCUAAUACGCAUAUUCUGUGAGCAGGAAAGCAGGGGAUCGCAAGACCUUGCGCUGAUUGAGCGGCCGAUAUCAGAUUAGCUAGUUGGUGGGGUAAAGGCCUACCAAGGCUACGAUCUGUAGCGGGUCUGAGAGGAUGAUCCGCCACACUGGAACUGAGACACGGUCCCAGACUCCUACGGGAGGCAGCAGUGGGGAAUUUUGGACAAUGGGGGCAACCCUGAUCCAGCCAUGCCGCGUGAGUGAAGAAGG
rnacentral:rRNA from 1 species